UGGGGAAUUUUGGGCAAUGGGCGAAAGCCUGAUCCAGCAAUGCCGCGUGUGUGAAGAAGGCCUUCGGGUUGUAAAGCACUUUUGUCCGGAAAGAAAUCCUUGGCUCUAAUACAGUCGGGGGAUGACGGUACCGGAAGAAUAAGCACCGGCUAACUACGUGCCAGCAGCCGCGGUAAUACGUAGGGUGCAAGCGUUAAUCGGAAUUACUGGGCGUAAAGCGUGCGCAGGCGGUUUGCUAAGACCGAUGUGAAAUCCCCGGGCUCAACCUGGGAACUGCAUUGGUGACUGGCAGGCUAGAGUAUGGCAGAGGGGGGUAGAAUUCCACGUGUAGCAGUGAAAUGCGUAGAGAUGUGGAGGAAUACCGAUGGCGAAGGCAGCCCCCUGGGCCAAUACUGACGCUCAUGCACGAAAGCGUGGGGAGCAAACAGGAUUAGAUACCCUGGUAGUCCACGCCCUAAACGAUGUCAACUAGUUGUUGGGGAUUCAUUUCCUUAGUAACGUAGCUAACGCGUGAAGUUGACCGCCUGGGGGAGUACGGUCGCAAGAUUAAAACUCAAAUGAAUUGACGGGGUCAUAGCUGUUUCCU
rnacentral:rRNA from 1 species